UGACUCGUAUUAGUCCACGCAUAAUUAAUCAUCCCUGAAGAAGAAAGUUAUCGAUUUUUGCAGAAAAAUUAUGUUCCACAGAAGAUGAAAGCAGCUUCAAGUUGUUGACUCGCAGAUGGGGAAACUCUUGUUUCUGCUGGAAAUAGAUUUGAACUGGGGUUCUUUAGCCCAUCAAGCAUCUCCAACGUGAAGAGAUAUGUGAGGAUAUGAUGGCACACUGAAGUUAUCCGAUGACAAAGGGAACCUUUA